rnacentral:rRNA from 1 species
UGCACCUACGGGGCGCAGCAGUGAGGAAUAUUGGUCAAUGGUCGGGAGACUGAACCAGCCAAGCCGCGUGAGGGAUGAAGGUACAGAGUAUCGUAAACCUCUUUUGUCAGGGAACAAAGGCGGGGACGUGUCCCCGGAUGAGUGUACCUGAAGAAAAAGCAUCGGCUAACUCCGUGCCAGCAGCCGCGGUAAUACGGAGGAUGCGAGCGUUAUCCGGAUUUAUUGGGUUUAAAGGGAGCGUAGGCCGGCUUUUAAGUCAGCUGUGAAAGUCCGCGGCUCAACCGUGGAAUUGCAGUUGAAACUGG